rnacentral:rRNA from 1 species
UUCCUACGGGAGGCAGCAGUGGGGAAUAUUGGACAAUGGGGGCAACCCUGAUCCAGCCAUGCCGCGUGAGUGAUGAAGGCCUUAGGGUCGUAAAGCUCUUUCGCCAGGGAUGAUAAUGACAGUACCUGGUAAAGAAACCCCGGCUAACUCCGUGCCAGCAGCCGCGG